rnacentral:rRNA from 1 species
GACGAACGCUGGCGGCGUGCUUAACACAUGCAAGUCGAGCGGAGCGGCGAACGGGUGAGUAACGCGUGAGUAACUGCCCCCCUCCCUGGGAUAACAGUUGGAAACGGCUGCUAAUACCGGAUAGCGGGGGAUGACUCGCGUCCUAUCUGCUUGUUGGUGGGGUAGUGGCCUACCAAGGCGACGCCGGGUAGCCGGCCUGAGAGGGCGACCGGCCACAUUGGGCUGAGGGAGGGACCAGAGUCCUACGUGGGGCAGUAGUGGGGAAUAGUGCACAAUGGGGGAAACCCUGAUGCAGCAACGCGCGUGCGGGAUGACGGCCUUCGGGGUGUAAACCGCUUUCAGCCAUGACGCGGUAGUGGCAGAAGAAGCACCGGCUAACUACGUGCCAGCAGCCGCGGUAAUUC